CGUAAGGCGUAUGCAAUCUGCCUUCAACUGGAGAAUAGCCCGAAGAAAUUCGGAUUAAUACUCCAUAGUAUUAAAGUAUGGCAUCAUAUUUUAAUUAAAGCUUCGGCGGUUGAAGAUGAGCAUUCGUGACAUUAGCUUGUUGGUGAGGUAACGGCUCACCAAGGCUACGAUGUCUAGGGGAUCUGAGAGGACUAACCCCCACACUGGUACUGAGACACGGACCAGACUCC
rnacentral:rRNA from 1 species